CACAGCAGCUUUGCGGCUCUGCAGCCCCUGGGUACCCUGAAUGCUAUGGACAACAUGCUGCAGAUUAUGCUAGACAGCCAUCCCAGCCAUCCCAUCAGCAGCGUCAAUAAUUGGCUGCAGAGUAUCUUGGAGUUGCUGCUGUCCUUCACCUUCUCCGGGGCCAGAAUUGUGCGUGAGAGGGCUAUGAAGCAGGUCUGGAAGCUUUGCGGUUUCAUGGCCAGCACUUUCAGGCAGCAGCUGCUUAGAAGAUUCCUCCGCACUCCUCAGAUUACAGGCAUCGUCCUCAUAACCCUUGAUAAGACCAUUGCUGACUGCAGCUCUGAGGACAAGGAGUGCCAGAGAUUCUGGGGUACCUCUGCAGAAAGCUGAAAAGCAGCAGCACAUCAGUUCAGGCAAUCCUCCCGUCACUGCUUGACGUGCUGGCAUGCCAGUUUCCCAGAGAUGUGUUAACAAGCGUAUUGACCCACCUACCACACAGUGACAGGUACCAGCCCUGACAACCCCCGAGGAGCAGGCGCUCCAUCGCACUGUGCUUUCCAGUGCCAGUGGACCCCUCAGGGCUGCAGCAGCUCACACCCACCAAGGCAGCCCACAGCCUCUCGUCAGGCUCCUGC
rnacentral:lncRNA from 1 species